rnacentral:rRNA from 1 species
AUUGAACGCUGGCGGCAUGCUUUACACAUGCAAGUCGAACGGUAACAGGCCGCAAGGUGCUGACGAGUGGCGAACGGGUGAGUAAUGCAUCGGAACGUGCCCAGUCGUGGGGGAUAACUACUCGAAAGAGUAGCUAAUACCGCAUACGAUCUAUGGAUGAAAGCGGGGGACCGUAAGGCCUCGCGCGAUUGGAGCGGCCGAUGUCAGAUUAGGUAGUUGGUGGGGUAAAGGCUCACCAAGCCAACGAUCUGUAGCUGGUCUGAGAGGACGACCAGCCACACUGGGACUGAGACACGGCCCAGACUCCUACGGGAGGCAGCAGUGGGGAAUUUUGGACAAUGGGCGCAAGCCUGAUCCAGCAAUGCCGCGUGCAGGAAGAAGGCCUUCGGGUUGUAAACUGCUUUUGUACGGAACGAAACGGCUCUGGUUAAUACCCGGGGCUAAUGACGGUACCGUAAGAAUAAGCGCCGGCUAACUACGUG